UUCAAAUAAGCAGCAUAAAACCCAGUCUCAGGGCUCGCUUCCAGGCAAAGCUGUGCUCACACAAAUUUCAUAGAAAAAGAGAAGAGCAGGUGGGCUGAUUGGGGGUAAAGAGAGAGCAGAUUCCGAGAUUUUAAAAGGUCCCUAUGUCAUGGAAGACAUGAGCCUUUGGUGAAAGGCGCUAAGAUGCGUCCGAGAGCACCCUUCCCAGGGCGCAGGGCAGGCGGCCCUGAUGCAGGGCACCGCGCCCUGAGUGGAUUCGGCGGCGCCAGGCGCCAGGUGUUCAGACAGGGCCCCCUCCUCCGCCCGGCUUCCUCCACCUCUGCAGUUUCACCUGAGUUAAGACGGAAACUGAGCCCAGGACAUUUUCAGGGUCUCACUGUUCUAACCCAAAGCCUUACUUGCAAGGAAACUUUGUGGAAAAGGGCUUGAAGAAGGAAAAUGUGUCAAGAGCACAAACAUGUGGGGCAUCUGCCCAGCCCUGCAGGCUGUGUGCACCUGCCGCUCCCCAGGAACACAGUCUUCUUGGUGCAGAAAAGGCACGGGCGCCGAAGUGGGGGGGGGCCGACGGUUUUGUUGUCUGCUGUGUCUUUCCCCUUGAGUUUCCGAGAAAGAUACUCAAGAACCCACGCAUAGGUUGUUCAGACAAGCCUGACACCUUCCCGGAAGGCACAAUUCAUUCAAGUGCAGCCAAGAAGCGCCACAGCUCGGAUUCCCCGGGAGGUGCAUGUGGCGGGGACGGCGGUUCCUGCUGUCGGGCCAGGAAGCGGGUGGCUUAGAUUCCCUUUGCCUUCCCCUGGCCCAUCAGAGGCGGAAAUGAAAAGAAUAAACGUGUCAGGUGCCAGCCUCGAUUCUGAAAGCUUGUUUUUCAUUCGUACCGCCUUGAAAAUAAGGUUUGACCUGGGUCAGCUGCUGAACCGACCUUUCAUCGUGGUUUGCUCCCCUGGUUUGGUCCUUUGCUUUGUUGAGGUACAGACACUCCCCCAACCCAUCCUCCACAGAGAGGACCAGAGCAGGGGGCCCCUGCCCUCACCCUGGCCGCCUCCCCUUCCCUAUGUGGCCCGCAGGCGUCUAUGCAGCGAGCGGGACACAGAGGAACCACCUGCUUCGCUCUGCUCCCCAGUGCGGACGGUCCAGAUGGUGCUGACGCACGACUCGCUGUGUUCCGGGUCCCCCCUCAGAAUCUCACCCUAUACAUUCUAAGACCGAGUUACAAGCUGCUCAUUAAGACUGUGUCUGCAAGCAGCAACCAGAAGACCAUUUUGGCUUAACUGUCUGUGUAAUUCAAACAAUCUGUUUGCCGGGGGGAGGGAAGAGAGGAGGUAUUUCUUAGAUCAGUUUUCGUUUUUUUACUCUAAAUUAACUAGAGGGCUUUUUUGGUGUUGUUUAGAACUGAAUUUGCAUAUGUUCCAUAUAUUCUAUUUCCUUUAUCUUUUUUGCUUCUCCUCCCCCUUCUGGCAAUGUCACCUUUUGUGGACAGACUAACAUAAAUUUCUUUUUUGCUUCCCUUACCAAAUACCUCUCCAUCCAGAACCAGAACUGUUGGCUAAUCUUGUUCUAAAAUUCUGUGGUCUAUAAACCCACUGCAUCCGCCCAGGCGCUCCGUGCCCACCUGGCCCUGGCCUGCAGAGAUGGCCCCAGACACGCUCUCUGACUGCACCACACCCCGGAGGCGUAUGGUGCUCACACUUGGUGCUCGUCUCCUACAGCUUCAGUUUUCUUUCUCUCUUAGAUAUUCUUCCUCUGUUUUGAGGUGGGACACGGUAGGUUUGGGGUUCUGCGUUCUUUCCUUUCAAGCUUCAGGCACUUUAAUUCUCCACCUAACAUCUUAACUCUGGCCCGGAAUGUCCUCCGAUGGCUCCAAACCUCUUUUACACAGUAUGAAUCAUUUCACAGACGGGGAGGCCAAAAGCAGAGAGAGACUGAGUGUGGAGCAUGCAGCCGGAGGGGAGCGGAGACCCACUGCCCGUCUGGACCCCAGCUGCUGGCACACGGGGGGGCAGCUCUCUGCCCUUGGCCUGCUCUCCACGAGCUGAGCCUCAGUGCCGCUCCGAGCCUGACUGUGUUCCUGGCACAGUCAUGACUGGGAGCCUUGCCAGUGCAGACCAGUGCCUCCCAGCUGUGCCCGGGAAGGUGCCCAGGCCGCCAGCCAGCCCCUCAUGUGCGCUGGGAUGCUGCAACCCCGCUCGGGGUCAGACCCGGCUGUUCUCUCAUGGGUCUCAGGUGGCCCCCCUCGCACCACCCCUGCCUCCCUCCCUCCCAGCCCAGACCUCAAAGAGCCAGGACAGGACACGAUCCCUUCUGCAUUCAGCUGUCCCGCCAAACGCUUACCACCUGUCUCAGGUCAGGAUAGAAAAGCUACCAGCGGUGACAACCGCCCCCCCAUCAGCAGCGCCAGGCACCUGCUGGAUUCCCCCAGAAGUCGGUGCACCCACUCUGGUGUGCUCAUGCACACGAGCUGCCGGAUGAGACGAAGGGAGAGCGGAUAGGGAAUCCUUCUCCCCAUGCCGCCCCUCCCCGGCCAAGAAGCAAACGAAAAGUGAAAUGAGGAGGACGAGGGGCAGGAAGCUGGGAAAUAAGUUCACGUCUAAGCCCCUCCUUGCUUACGUCUCCCCACUAAAGCCGAUGAGGCCGGUCCACCGCUGCCCGGGGCUCUCGCAGGGUUUCACCCGUUGAGGGAUUCGGCCAAAGAAGAAUGUCUUUGGAAGACUGUCACCUGAAUUUGUCUUUGGCUGGGGGAAGUCUAAAGUGAUGAUACUUUUCUUCAAACCCUUUCCCUGAGACAACCCCCACCCGGCUUCCACAGGCCCGACUGCAGCGCCAGCUGCUGGUUCAGCCCUGGCACCUUGCGUGGACACCCGAGCUUAGCCCUCGGCAGCAGACGCAGCCCACAGUUCCAUGUGCUGCCGCCCCCUGGAGUUCCAGGGCGUCUGGACCACCGCCCCGGGGACAGCCGCACUCUCCACCCAGGGGUCCCAUGCAUACAAUUGUCUUUCAUCUUAAUAGGUGAUUGUGCGUGCAGGUCUACGAUAGGCUUUUAUGGUAUUCAUGGCACAGAUAACUGCACCACUCACCCAAAAAAUAAAAAAUGCACGGGUAUAUGUGUACAUAAA